CUAACAGAACCAAAAAAAAAUCAUCGAUCUUUCGAUCUCAGAAAAACCUCGAAUUUUUAUCAAAGAAUGGUUCAAAUGAAUCAUUGAUUCACACAAGAGCAUCAUCGGAUCAUUAUACAAGGCUCUGAUACCAUGAAAACAUGCACAAUAUCGAGGAAACUUAGAGAGAGAAAGUAGAGAGAAGGGAGAGCAUCGAAGAGUCUCGAAGAAGACUCAGAUAUUAUUUCUGAAAUGACGCCUCGGUUAUUACAAACGACCCCUGGCCCCUUAUAUCAAAAUAACCCCUUUUACAGAUAUAGCCUAUUUACAUGACUGGCCUAAUUGCAAGUAUAGCCUAUUUACAUAUCUCAACAGUAGACUACAUAGAGAGACCAAAAUAUGAUAAGUA
rnacentral:lncRNA from 1 species